CAAUCUGCCUUGGAGUGGGGAAUAACGGCUGGAAACAGCCGCUAAUACCGCAUGAUGCAUCUGAGUCGCAUGGUUUGGAUGCCAAAGAUUUAUCGCUCUGAGAUGAGCUCGCGUCUGAUUAGCUAGUUGGCGGGGUAACGGCCCACCAAGGCGACGAUCAGUAGCCGGACUGAGAGGUUGGCCGGCCACAUUGGGACUGAGACACGGCCCAGACUCCUACGGAAGGCAGCAG
rnacentral:rRNA from 1 species